AGAGUUUGAUCCUGGCUCAGAUUGAACGCUGGCGGCAGGCCUAACACAUGCAAGUCGAGCGGAAACGAGUUAUCUGAACCUUCGGGGAACGAUAACGGCGUCGAGCGGCGGACGGGUGAGUAAUGCCUAGGAAAUUGCCCUGAUGUGGGGGAUAACCAUUGGAAACGAUGGCUAGUACCGCAUAACACCUUCGGGUCAAAGAGGGGGACCUUCGGGCCUCUCGCGUCAGGAUAUGCCUAGGUGGGAUUAGCUAGUUGGUGAGGUAAUGGCUCACCAAGGCGACGAUCCCUAGCUGGUCUGAGAGGAUGAUCAGCCACACUGGAACUGAGACACGGUCCAGACUCCUACGGGAGGCAGCAGUGGGGAAUAUUGCACAAUGGGCGCAAGCCUGAUGGGGCCAUGCCGCGUGUGUGAAGAAGGCCUUCGGGUUGUAAAGCACUUUCAGUCGUGAGGAAGGUAGUGUAGUUAAUAGCUGCAUUAUUUGACGUUAGCGACAGAAGAAGCACCGGCUAACUCCGUGCCAGCAGCCGCGGUAAU
rnacentral:rRNA from 1 species